UUUUAAGGGAAAAUCUCAGGUUUUGGGGAGUGAACAUGGCAGCCAGUAGGUAUGGCCUGGCAAGGAGUCACUCUGUGCCCAGGUUGCAGGCUGGAGGCCUGCAGAGGCCUUCGCUCUGUGCCUCAUCUCCUUCUGGCCCCGCCUGGCCACGUGCCGGCUUCCCUCCCCUUUUCCCCCGCUCUCUGUCUGUGCCCCAGACACUGGGGUUUCAGUUCAGAAUACCUGCACAUUAAGACCCUUUGCUCCUCCCCACAGAGCUGGGGAUGCCUCUGGGGCCUCACCCUCUGGAGAGUGUCUGAGUCUGGUGGUUUUUCACUAUGAAGUUCCCUUUUUGUUUUUUUUCCUCUCCUUUUUCCCCUCUGGAACCACCCCUGCCUUUUGGCCACAGGAGCGUGUGUUGAGAAAGGAUGAUAAGCUUGGCUUCUGCUCACUUUAGCUGAAAGGAUAUGGAUUUGGGUUCAGGCCUUCACACUUUGGGUGAGAGGUGGGAGGGCUUUGAGGUCAGCUGCCCCUUCGGUCCCAGCCUAAUCCCCUCACAAAUGACCUGAGAUUGCGCUGGGUUAUGUUCUCCAACCACCUGCUGUACCUUUUCUCUGUGAUUUGGAAGCUUGAGAAGAUAUGAGUGGCCCAGAGAGCGAGUGGGUGCCAGGCCAGAUCCUCUCCUAGCCCCCAAGGGGAGGCAGAGUGGAGUUCCCUUUCCGGGGUGGAGCACACAGAGUGGAGAAAGGAGUUCUCUAAGAGUGACAAGACACCAAGAGUGUGAUGGUUCUUUUGUCAUUCUUACUGAGGAACACUGUUACCAAACCUGUGGGUAGUAUCAAGUUCCAGAAAUGUGGAGGAAACAAGUACUUACUGGGACCAGUGUGAAUGCUUGGUCUGUAUGAAAAUGACCAGGAAAACUAUUAUACGAAGGUUAUUUAAUGAUCUGUG
ensembl:lncRNA